rnacentral:rRNA from 1 species
UACGGAGGGUGCGAGCGUUGUCCGGAAUCACUGGGCGUAAAGGGCGCGUAGGCGGCGCGGGCAGUCAACGGUGAAAGCUUGGGGCUCAACCCCGAGUCGGCCGUCGAUACUCCCGGGCUGGAGCACUGUAGAGGCAGGUGGAAUUCCGGGUGUAGCGGUGGAAUGCGUAGAGAUCCGGAGGAACACCGAUGGCGAAGGCAGCCCCCUGGGCUGACACUGACGCUCAGGCACGAAAGCGUGGGGAGCAAACAGG